AUUCUCAAGAUUUCACACCCAAAUUCAGAUCUUUUAACUUGGUGCCAUCAACGAAAGAAAGAUUGGAUGAUACUGUUCUCUGUUUUUAUUAGAGCUCAGAAAAUAAAAAAAGCUAUAAAAAAGAUGAG